rnacentral:rRNA from 1 species
UGAGUAGGCGGUUACAUAUGUCAGAUGUAAAAGGCACAGGCUUAACUUGUGUUAGCAUUUGAAACUGUGCGACUUGAGUGCAGGAGAGGUAAGUGGAAUUCCUAGUGUAGCGGUGAAAUGCGUAGAUAUUAGGAGGAACACCAGUGGCGAAGGCGACUUACUGGACUGUAACUGACGCUGAGUCACGAAAGCGUGGGUAGCAAACA